ACUAAGCGUACACGGUGGAUGCCCUGGCAGUCAGAGGCGAUGAAGGACGUGCUAAUCUGCGAAAAGCGUCGGUAAGGUGAUAUGAACCGUUAUAACCGGCGAUGUCCGAAUGGGGAAACCCAGUGCAAUUCGUUGCACUAUCGUUAACUGAAUACAUAGGUUAACGAGGCGAACCGGGGGAACUGAAACAUCUAAGUACCCCGAGGAAAAGAAAUCAACCGAGAUUCCCCCAGUAGCGGCGAGCGAACGGGGAGCAGCCCAGAGUCUGAAUCAGCUUGUGUGUUAGUGGAACGGUCUGGAAAGUCCGACGGUACAGGGUGAUAGUCCCGUACACCAAAAUGCACAGGCUGUGAACUCGAAGAGUAGGGCGGGACACGUGGUAUCCUGUCUGAAUAUGGGGGGACCAUCCUCCAAGGCUAAAUACUCCUGACUGACCGAUAGUGAACCAGUACCGUGAGGGAAAGGCGAAAAGAACCCCGGCGAGGGGAGUGAAAAAGAACCUGAAACCGUGUACGUACAAGCAGUGGGAGCACCUUCGGGUGUGACUGCGUACCUUUUGUAUAAUGGGUCAGCGACUUAUAUUCUGUAGCAAGGUUAACCGUAUAGGGGAGCCGCAGGGAAACCGAGUCUUAACUGGGCGUUAAGUUGCAGGGUAUAGACCCGAAACCCGGUGAUCUAGCCAUGGGCAGGUUGAAGGUUGGGUAACACUAACUGGAGGACCGAACCGACUAAUGUUGAAAAAUUAGCGGAUGACUUGUGGCUGGGGGUGAAAGGCCAAUCAAACCGGGAGAUAGCUGGUUCUCCCCGAAAGCUAUUUAGGUAGCGCCUCGUGAACUCAUCUUCGGGGGUAGAGCACUGUUUCGGCUAGGGGGUCAUCCCGACUUACCAACCCGAUGCAAACUACGAAUACCGAAGAAUGUUAUCACGGGAGACACACGGCGGGUGCUAACGUCCGUCGUGAAGAGGGAAACAACCCAGACCGCCAGCUAAGGUCCCAAAGUCAUGGUUAAGUGGGAAACGAUGUGGGAAGGCACAGACAGCCAGGAUGUUGGCUUAGAAGCAGCCAUCAUUUAAAGAAAGCGUAAUAGCUCACUGGUCGAGUCGGCCUGCGCGGAAGAUGUAACGGGGCUAAACCAUGCACCGAAGCUGCGGCAGCGACACUAUGUGUUGUUGGGUAGGGGAGCGUUCUGUAAGCCUGCGAAGGUGNUGCUGGAGGUAUCAGAAGUGCGAAUGCUGACAUAAGUAACGAUAAAGCGGGUGAAAAGCCCGCUCGCCGGAAGACCAAGGGUUCCUGUCCAACGUUAAUCGGGGCAGGGUGAGUCGACCCCUAAGGCGAGGCCGAAAGGCGUAGUCGAUGGGAAACAGGUUAAUAUUCCUGUACUUGGUGUUACUGCGAAGGGGGGACGGAGAAGGCUAUGUUAGCCGGGCGACGGUUGUCCCGGUUUAAGCAUGUAGGCUGAUUGUCCAGGCAAAUCCGGAUAAUCAAGGCUGAGGUGUGAUGACGAGGCACUACGGUGCUGAAGUAACAAAUGCCCUGCUUCCAGGAAAAGCCUCUAAGCAUCAGGUAACAUCAAAUCGUACCCCAAACCGACACAGGUGGUCAGGUAGAGAAUACCAAGGCGCUUGAGAGAACUCGGGUGAAGGAACUAGGCAAAAUGGUGCCGUAACUUCGGGAGAAGGCACGCUGGUGUGUAGGUGAAGCCCCUGCGGGUGGAGCUGAGACCAGUCGAAGAUACCAGCUGGCUGCAACUGUUUAUUAAAAACACAGCACUGUGCAAACACGAAAGUGGACGUAUACGGUGUGACGCCUGCCCGGUGCCGGAAGGUUAAUUGAUGGGGUUAUCCGUAAGGAGAAGCUCUUGAUCGAAGCCCCGGUAAACGGCGGCCGUAACUAUAACGGUCCUAAGGUAGCGAAAUUCCUUGUCGGGUAAGUUCCGACCUGCACGAAUGGCGUAAUGAUGGCCAGGCUGUCUCCACCCGAGACUCAGUGAAAUUGAACUCGCUGUGAAGAUGCAGUGUACCCGCGGCAAGACGGAAAGACCCCGUGAACCUUUACUAUAGCUUGACACUGAACAUUGAGCCUUGAUGUGUAGGAUAGGUGGGAGGCUUUGAAGCGUGGACGCCAGUCUGCGUGGAGCCAACCUUGAAAUACCACCCUUUAAUGUUUGAUGUUCUAACGUUGGCCCCUUACCGGGGUUGCGGACAGUGUCUGGUGGGUAGUUUGACUGGGGCGGUCUCCUCCCAAAGCGUAACGGAGGAGCACGAAGGUUAGCUAAUCCUGGUCGGACAUCAGGAGGUUAGUGCAAUGGCAUAAGCUAGCUUGACUGCGAGCGUGACGGCGCGAGCAGGUGCGAAAGCAGGUCAUAGUGAUCCGGUGGUUCUGAAUGGAAGGGCCAUCGCUCAACGGAUAAAAGGUACUCCGGGGAUAACAGGCUGAUACCGCCCAAGAGUUCAUAUCGACGGCGGUGUUUGGCACCUCGAUGUCGGCUCAUCACAUCCUGGGGCUGAAGUAGGUCCCAAGGGUAUGGCUGUUCGCCAUUUAAAGUGGUACGCGAGCUGGGUUUAGAACGUCGUGAGACAGUUCGGUCCCUAUCUGCCGUGGGCGCUGGAGAAUUGAGGGGGGCUGCUCCUAGUACGAGAGGACCGGAGUGGACGCAUCACUGGUGUUCGGGUUGUCAUGCCAAUGGCACUGCCCGGUAGCUAAAUGCGGAAGAGAUAAGUGCUGAAAGCAUCUAAGCACGAAACUUGCCCCGAGAUGAGUUCUCCCUGAGACUUUAAGUCUCCUGAAGGAACGUUAAAGACGAUGACGUUGAUAGGCCGGGUGUGUAAGCGCAGCGAUGCGUUGAGCUAACCGGUACUAAUGAACCGUGAGGCUUAACC
rnacentral:rRNA from 1 species